CUAAUGGGCUGAAGUGCCUUGUUUUCUCCAGACCGCAAAUGUGGCUCCUUCCCCCUAUUCAAAGGCAUCAUGAAUGUUGGAGGGAGAAGGGCAGUUAAUGCUUCCCAGUGAUCAGGCUCCUGGCUCUGGGCCAGUGUGACUCAUGAUUAUGACAGAGCUCUGAGAAAGCUCACGAUCAAGUUGAAUAUUCCCCUUCAUCUUCUGGAAAGCAUUCUCCCCCAGUCAGGCAGAAGAUAGAGAUCAGUAAUGGUGACAGCAUCUUCCAUAAAAGAAAACACAGAUGCCACAGAGCGAUUCAUAAGGGCUCAGUGACACAGAAAGCUGAAACCUUGGGUUCUGUUUCAUUUCUUAUGAGGACUGUUAACGUGUUGCUUUG
rnacentral:lncRNA from 1 species